rnacentral:rRNA from 1 species
CCUGACGCAGCGACGCCGCGUGAGUGAAGAAGGUUUUCGGAUCGUAAAACUCUGUUGUCAGAGAAGAACAAGUUGGAGAGUAACUGCUCCAGCCUUGACGGUAUCUGACCAGAAAGCCACGGCUAACUACGUGCCAGCAGCCGCGGUAAUACGUAGGUGGCAAGCGUUGUCCGGAUUUAUUGGGCGUAAAGCGAGCGCAGGCGGUUCCUUAAGUCUGAUGUGAAAGCCCACGGCUCAACCGUGGAAGGUCGUUGGAAACUGGGGAACUUGAGUGCAGAAGAGGAGAGUGGAAUUCCAUGUGUAGCGGUGAAAUGCGUAGAUAUAUGGAGGAACACCAGUGGCGAAGGCGACUCUCUGGUCUGUAACUGACGCUGAGGCUCGAAAGCGUGGGGAGCAAACAGGAUUAGAUACCCUGGUAGUCCACGCCGUAAACGAUGAGUGCUAAGUGUUGGAGGGUUUCCACCCUUCAGUGCUGCAGCUAACGCAUUAAGCACUCCGCCUGGGGAGUACGGCCGCAAGGCUGAAACUCAAAGGAAUUGACGG